GAUGAACGCUGGCGGCGUGCCUAAUACAUGCAAGUCGAGCGAACAGACGAGGAGCUUGCUCCUCUGACGUUAGCGGCGGACGGGUGAGUAACACGUGGAUAACCUACCUAUAAGACUGGGAUAACUUCGGGAAACCGGAGCUAAUACCGGGUAAUAUAUUGAACCGCAUGGUUCAAUAGUGAAAGACGGUUUUGCUGUCACUUAUAGAUGGAUCCGCGCCGCAUUAGCUAGUUGGUAAGGUAACGGCUUACCAAGGCAACGAUGCGUAGCCGACCUGAGAGGGUGAUCGGCCACACUGGAACUGAGACACGGUCCAGACUCCUACGGGAGGCAGCAGUAGGGAAUCUUCCGCAAUGGGCGAAAGCCUGACGGAGCAAUGCCGCGUGAGUGAUGAAGGUCUUCGGAUCGUAAAACUCUGUUAUUAGGGAAGAACAAAUGUGUAAGUAACUAUGCACGUCUUGACGGUACCUAAUCAGAAAGCCACGGCUAACUACGUG
rnacentral:rRNA from 1 species